GAUGAACGCUAGCUACAGGCUUAACACAUGCAAGUCGAGGGGUAACGAGAGGGAAGCUUGCUUUCCUUGUCGACGACCGGCGCACGGGUGAGUAACGCGUAUCCAACCUGCCCCCAACUAAGGAAUAACCUUGCGGAAGUAAGACUAAUACCCUAUAAUUUCCUCAGAUGACAUCUGACGAGGAAUAAAGAUUUAUCGGUUGUGGAUGGGGAUGCGUCUGAUUAGCUUGUUGGCGGGGUAACGGCCCACCAAGGCAACGAUCAGUAGGGGUUCUGAGAGGAAGGUCCCCCACAUUGGAACUGAGACACGGUCCAAACUCCUACGGGUGGCAGCAGUGAGGAAUAUUGGUCAAUGGGCGGAAGCCUGAACCAGCCAAGUAGCGUGCAGGAUGACGGCCCUAUGGGUUGUAAACUGCUUUUAUACAGGAAUAAAGUUAGCCACGUGUGGUUAUUUGUAGGUACUGUAUGAAUAAGGACCGGCUAAUUCCGUGCCAGCCGCCGCCGUAA
rnacentral:rRNA from 1 species